CAGGGUGGACAGGGUGGGCCGCGCUCCAUCCUGAGAUUUCGGCCUGGCCUAUAUAGGAUGGCAUUUUCAGAGACGGGCCGAGUCAAAAAAAAUAAGCCCAUCAACAAGUGCGAGCUGAAACCAGACGAACAGGGCACAUCCUCUCCUCUCAGUCAUCUCUCCUCUGCAACCACGCACGGCCGCCACAUCUGGUCGAGUUCGAUCCGCCGCCAGCCAAGUCGCCCCUCGCCGUCGCCGGCCCACCGCUGGAUCCCGGACCUCCCUGACGGCUGACGCCCACCCGCCCCGGCUAGCUGCUGUCUGCACACGGCGCACGGCGCACCACCUCGCCCAGCCGCCCCUGACGGCUGCGCCGCUGCGGGCCGCGGCAUGCCUGCUCCUCCCAUCGCCCGGUCGCCCUGCGCAGCAGCGCACUGAGCAUCAGCGCUCCCGGACCAGGAGCAACCACUACGCAGCCGCCCUGCCCCUGCUAGCCGAGUAGCCGGAGUCGGCCAGUCGCCGACGGCGCCCAGUCCCCUUCUCCUGCACUCCCUUCCGAGAGAGAGGGAAUUUUUGAAGAAUGAAGAGGGCAGGAAACAUUGCUUCCCUUUUUGCGAGACAUGCUCAGAAGACAAGGAAGAAAGCUAGUACGCCAGAUGUGCAUGGGACCGCGGAUGUGGCCGAAGAGCAAACCAGAGAAUUUGUGGUUCAAGAGCAAACUUAAGAAACAGUGGUGUCUAUGUCAAAUGUCACGGUUGAGCAAACUCCGGAACCAAUGGUUCGACUUGAAGAUGUCUCAACGCCACCGCCGGUUUAUGAUUUUAGCCGUCUUAAACAUGAUCCCGGGGAAAGGCCACCCAUUGCAAGUUAUCCUGUCAAUGAUCAAGACGCAGUUCGGAGAGCAUAUAUCCUUAAGGCUGCAUUCAAACCUUAUGCACAUAACUUUGAAGCAAGAAGAAUUGGGAAUAGAUUUCAAUCAUUCAGUCCUUUUUGGCUUCAUAAACAUAGUUGGCUUGAAUAUAGUAUCAAGGAGAAAGCUGCAUUUUGCUUUGUAUGCUUCUUGUUCAAAGAGAAAAAAACUAGUGGGAAGGGAACUAAUGCAUUUACUGAUGGUGGUUGGAGAAAUUGGAAUAGAGAUGAUGCUCUUGAUAAGCAUGUUGGUGGUGUAACAAGUGUGCACAAUGCAGCUCAAGAGAAAUAUGACUUAUUUGUGAAUCCCCGUGCAACAAUUAAUGAUCUUCCUGUGAGGGUGGAUAGUGAGGAUCUACGUCUUUAUAGGAUGAGGUUGAAGUAUUCACUUAGAUGCUUGCAGUUCUUCUUCAUCAAGGAUUGGCAUUUCGUGGGCAUGAUGAAAGUGAACAAUCUAGCAACAGGGGAAACUUCAUUGAGCUAUUGAAGUGGCUUGCAACGAAUAGUGAGGAGGUGAAUAAGUAUGUCUUGAAGAAUGCACCAGGUAAUUGCAAAUUGACUUCUCACCAGAUACAAAAUCAGAUUAUUCAAUGUUGUGCAGUACAUACUAGAAAUCAAAUUAUUGAACAAGUUGGUGAUGAUCAUUAUGCUAUUCUAGCUGAUGAGUCUAGUGAUGUAUCACAUAAAGAACAACUAGCUCUAUGUUUGCGUUUUGUUGAUAAAGUAGGAAGGCUAAGUGAGCACUUUCUUGGAGUUGUUCAUGUAAGUGACACCACUGCAUUGUCACUUAAGGAAGCAAUUCAAACUUUACUUGCCAAUCAUGGUUUGACUAUAACUCAAAUUCGUGGGCAAGGUUGUGAUGGGGCUAGCAACAUGAGAGGAGAAAUUAAAGGACUGAAAACAUUGAUCAUGAAAGAGUCACCUUCUGCCUAUUACAUCCAUUGUUUUGCACAUCAACUCCAACUAGUUCUUGUUGCUGUUGCCAAGGGAAAUGAUGACUGUGUAUGGUUUUUUGAUCGAGUGUCUUUAUUGUUGAACAUUAUUGGAGUUUCUUGUAAGCGUCAUGACAUGCUUAGAGAUGCUAGACUUCAUAAUAUCAUGAAACUACUUGAAUGUGGUGAGUUACAAACUGGGAGUGGUCUGAAUCAAGAGAUGGGGUUACCUAGGCCUGGUGAUACUAGGUGGGGCUCUCAUUACAAAACUGUUCUCAACAUUAUUGCUAUGUACCCCACAAUUCGUGAUGUAAUCAUCACUCUUGGACAAGAUGCAUCACAAAGGAGUGAUUGGCCAAAAAUCCAUACUAUUGUUGGAGUGUUCGAGUCAUUUGACUUUAUUUUCAAUGCCCACUUGAUGCUUGUCAUUCUUGGAUACACAAGUGAUUUGUCUGAUUGUUUGCAAAGAAGAGACCAAGACAUUCUUUCUGCAAUGGCAAUGGUUAGAUUGGCAAAAGAUAGAAUACAAGAACUGAGGUCUAAUGGGUGGGAUGCAUUUCUUCAAAGAGUCACAUUAUUUUGUAACAAGCAUAGCAUUCAAGUUCCUACAAUGGAGGAUAAUUAUGUGCCUUAUGGAAGAUCAACACGGUUUGUUCGACCCCAAACAAAUGAUGAUCACUUUAGAAGAGAAGUAUUUCUUGGAGUAAUUGAUCAAAUUAGUCAAGAGCUUGAAAAUCGGUUUGACGAGAUCAAUAUGGAGUUGCUAUCUUGUAUGUCUGCUUUGAAUCCUGCCAACUCAUUUGCUGCUUUUGAUGCACACAAGGUACGCAAACUUGCUGAGUUCUAUCCAGAAGACUUUUCAAGUGCUGACUUGAUACACCUUGAACUACAACUUGGUAACUAUAUUGGUGACAUGAGAAAAGAUGAGAACUUUCAACAAGGCCUUGGAAAUCUUGUUGAUCUCUCAGUUAAGCUUGUUCAAACAGGGAGGCAUAUAGUUGAUAAUUUCGUGUACUUGCUUCUAAAAUUGGUAUUGAUUCUACCAGUGGCAACGACAAAUGUUGAGAGAGCAUUUUCUGCCAUGAGUUUAGUCAAAAACAAGUUGAGAAAUAAGAUGGGUGGUAGUCUUUUGGAUGAUUGCCUGGUCACAUACAUUGAGCGGGAUAUUUUCUCUAAGGUGAAUGAAGAUGACAUAAUUGAUACUUUCAUGGUCAUGCAGAAGUGUAGGCCGGAAACAUAGUCUUCUUUAAACUUGUCAAGGUAUGUAGUAUGUCUAUGUAGUCUUCUUUCAUGCGGAACUGGGAGUUUUAGUGUGUUUGUAAGACCAUAUUGAUCUAUUUCUAUGUUUUAUUGAUAAUUAGUUAGAUCGUUCACAUGUCAAAUUUGUUGUCAAAAAAUAGAUUUUUGGAAGCGGCCCACCCAGUUGUCAAAUGCUAGCUCCGCCACUGAUCUUGCCAGUAUGCUCAAAAAGAUGAAAAGAGACGGCUUUUGUUCUCUUCUUCUUUCUUCUGGUCCGGCGUCGUGGAUUCCAUUCGCCACGUUUGAAGUGAGCACGAGAAAAGGGGGAGCGAGUUGGUUCAGACUCCACGCCCGCUACGCACCGAGUCUGUUAGUCAGUUACCUCUCGCAGGCACCGCGUCCACGGCGCACACUCCCGCUGCCAGCGGGCCCUCCGCCAUAUCCCACCCGCAUCGGUCCACCGGUCCACCGUAGACCGCGCGCCAGGACGAGUCAGGUCCGACCCUGCCCCCAACCCCACUCCCUGCCAGCCGGCCAGCCGCGCGCGCUUCCCACGCCUCCAUCCAACCUGCACUUCCCACGCCACGCCCACCGACGCGUCGUCCCGCCUCAUGCCUGGGCCCGCAUGCAAGCGAAAGAAAGAACGAAAGGCGGUGAGGCGCAAAGAAAGAGCGAAAGAAUAAAUAAAAAGCCGCGCUACCGAACAAGAAAAAGCGCUGCGUGUGCGGGGGAAAACGAAAAGAAAUCACGGGGGAAAUUCGUCCUCGGCCCUCUUUUGUCUUCCUCCCCCGUUGCUCGGCUUGCUUGCUUGCUGCUGCAGGUGAGUGCUGGUGGAGACGAGAGCCGAGCCGGGGCGGAUCGGGGAGGAGGAAGGCGGCAGGGGGCAGAUCCGGCGGGCGGGGCGCGGCUUGUGCCUGCAAGAAGGUUGGUGAGGGGUUGGUUGGCGGGGAUGGAGCGGAAGGCGGUGGUGGUGUGCGCGCUCGUCGGAUUCCUCGGCGUCCUCUCCGCCGCGCUCGGCUUCGCCGCCGAGGGCACCCGCGUCAAGGUUUCGGAUGUGCAAACAGAUUCUUCUCCAGGUGAAUGCAUAUACCCGAGAAGCCCGGCGUUAGGCCUUGGGUUGAUGUCUGCCGUCGCCCUUAUGGUCGCACAGGCCAUUAUCAAUACAGUUGCUGGUUGCAUCUGUUGUAAGAGGCAUCCGGUUCCCUCAGACACUAACUGGAGUGUGGCUCUGAUCUCAUUCAUCGUAUCUUG